UACGAAGGGUGCAAGCGUUGUUCGGAAUCAUUGGGCGUAAAGCGCGCGCAGGCGGAUCAGCAAGUCAGAUGUGGAAUCUCGAAGCUCAACUUCGAAACUGCGUCUGAAACUGCUAGUCUAGAAUGUCGGAGGGGCAGGGGAAGUUUCACGUGUAGGGGUAAAAGUCCGUAGAGAUGUGAAGGAACACCGGAGGCGAAGGCGCCUGCCUGGACGACUAUUGACGCUGAGGCGCGAAAGCGUGGGGAGCAAACAGGAUUAGAACCUACCGU
rnacentral:rRNA from 1 species